GAUGAAGAACGUAGCGAAAUGCGAUAGGUAAUGUGAAUUGCAGAAUUCAGUGAAUCAUCGAAUCUUUGAACGCACAUUGCGCCCGCCAGUAUUCUGGCGGGCAUGCCUGUUCGAGCGUCAUUACAACCCUCAGGCCCCCGGGCCUGGCGUUGGGGAUCGGCGGAAGCCCCCUGUGGGCACACGCCGUCCCUCAAAUACAGUGGCGGUCCCGCCGCAGCUUCCAUUGCGUAGUAGCUAACACCUCGCAACUGGAGAGCGGCGCGGCCAUGCCGUAAAACACCCAACUUCUGAAUGUUGACCUCGAAUCAGGUAGGAAUACCCGCUGAACUUAAGCAUAUCAAUAAGCGGAGGA
rnacentral:misc_RNA from 1 species